GGUUAAGCGACUAAGCGUACACGGUGGAUGCCCUGGCAGUCAGAGGCGAUGAAGGACGUGCUAAUCUGCGAUAAGCGUCGGUGAGGUGAUAUGAACCGUUAUAACCGGCGAUUUCCGAAUGGGGAAACCCAGUGUGUUUCGACACACUAUCAUUAACUGAAUCCAUAGGUUAAUGAGGCGAACCGGGGGAACUGAAACAUCUAAGUACCCCGAGGAAAAGAAAUCAACCGAGAUUCCCCCAGUAGCGGCGAGCGAACGGGGAGGAGCCCAGAGCCUGAAUCAGUGUGUGUGUUAGUGGAAGCGUCUGGAAAGGCGCGCGAUACAGGGUGACAGCCCCGUACACAAAAAUGCACAUAUUGUGAGCUCGAUGAGUAGGGCGGGACACGUGGUAUCCUGUCUGAAUAUGGGGGGACCAUCCUCCAAGGCUAAAUACUCCUGACUGACCGAUAGUGAACCAGUACCGUGAGGGAAAGGCGAAAAGAACCCCGGCGAGGGGAGUGAAAAAGAACCUGAAACCGUGUACGUACAAGCAGUGGGAGCCUCUUAAUGGGGUGACUGCGUACCUUUUGUAUAAUGGGUCAGCGACUUAUAUUCUGUAGCAAGGUUAACCGAAUAGGGGAGCCGAAGGGAAACCGAGUCUUAACUGGGCGUUAAGUUGCAGGGUAUAGACCCGAAACCCGGUGAUCUAGCCAUGGGCAGGUUGAAGGUUGGGUAACACUAACUGGAGGACCGAACCGACUAAUGUUGAAAAAUUAGCGGAUGACUUGUGGCUGGGGGUGAAAGGCCAAUCAAACCGGGAGAUAGCUGGUUCUCCCCGAAAGCUAUUUAGGUAGCGCCUCGUGAAUUCAUCUCCGGGGGUAGAGCACUGUUUCGGCAAGGGGGUCAUCCCGACUUACCAACCCGAUGCAAACUGCGAAUACCGGAGAAUGUUAUCACGGGAGACACACGGCGGGUGCUAACGUCCGUCGUGAAGAGGGAAACAACCCAGACCGCCAGCUAAGGUCCCAAAGUCAUGGUUAAGUGGGAAACGAUGUGGGAAGGCCCAGACAGCCAGGAUGUUGGCUUAGAAGCAGCCAUCAUUUAAAGAAAGCGUAAUAGCUCACUGGUCGAGUCGGCCUGCGCGGAAGAUGUAACGGGGCUAAACCAUGCACCGAAGCUGCGGCAGCGACACUAUGUGUUGUUGGGUAGGGGAGCGUUCUGUAAGCCUGUGAAGGUGGCCUGUGAGGGUUGCUGGAGGUAUCAGAAGUGCGAAUGCUGACAUAAGUAACGAUAAAGCGGGUGAAAAGCCCGCUCGCCGGAAGACCAAGGGUUCCUGUCCAACGUUA
rnacentral:rRNA from 1 species